GCCAUGAGCUCGGUGAAAUUGUGGUAUCGGUGAAGACGCCGGUUACCCGCAACGGGACGGAAAGACCCCAUGCACCUUCACUACAACUUAACAUUGAUAUCGGAUACAGGAUGUGUAGGAUAGGUGGGAGACUAUGAAGUGGCGUCGCUAGGCGUUGUGGAGUCAUUGUUGAAAUACCACCCUUUGGUUAUCUGAGGCCUAACCCCGCGUUGUGGGGGACAUUGCUUGGUGGGUAGUUUGACUGGGG
rnacentral:rRNA from 1 species